AUGCUCUCCAAAUUUAGUGUUUAUGAAGGAAACGCCGAGCUGCUUUUAAAGUCUAUGGCUAAAAGGUACAAUGUCAAGGACUUGAACGUCGCAGAGGCUACUAAAAGCAUGGUGAAAGCAACUUCUAGUUAUGAUCAGAUAGAACUAUUGUCUAUGGUUAAGCAAGAUGUGCAUCAAGGUGAGGUUAUCAUCAACAAGCUGAACCAAGUGAUCGCUGGUACUGAAAGACUAGAAAAAUUUUUGGGAGGCGGCAGAGGAGGAGGCAGUAGAGGCAGCAGUGGAGGAGGUGUUGGUGAAGGUGGUGGAGGCAUUGGUGGAGAUGGGGGCAGCUGUGGUGGCGGAGACAGUGGAGAUGGUGGCGGCGGUGGCGGUGAAGAUGGAGUUGAUUUCAUAGUGUAAGAGUAUUCACACUUGGACCUGCAAAUAUCAUAUGUUGGCAUAUUUAGCAUCCAAACCUCAAAAACUCCCCCUUACCAGAAUUGUAAACCCAAAAAAAUUUACAAGUCUACGACAGUACCAUCCUAAAUAUACAAGCGUACUGUAGCACAAUCCUAAAUCCCAAAUAUUAUUUUUUAUUCCAAAUCUCUUCUCUUUCUCUCUCUUUGGUGUCUCUUCUCAGUCUUUUGCUCUCCUUCUCUCAACAACAAUCCAAUCCAAACUCCAUUCUCUCAUCACAUCUCUCUUUAGCUCACGGUGGUGGGUAUUUUCUAGCGUGAGCUUUGGUGUGGGUUAGGUGAUGGUGUGGAUUGUGGGUUUGGUGGCAUGGAGGUGGGUCAUGGUGAGGUCGUGCAUGGCAAGGUGGGGUCGCGGAGAGUUGGGUCGCAACGAGCUAGGUUGCGACAAGUUGGGUCACAAUAGGUCCUUUAUAAUUAAAAAAAUCUCAACUAAAAAUUUUAAAAUAGUUGCAUAUUUUUAGAAUAUUUAGUUACGAAAAUUAUUAAAAAAAUAAAUAAAUGAAAAAAUGACCUAUAGUGGCGUUUGUAAAAUGUUGCUAUAGCCCAGCCUAAAAAAAUUGAGGGACCUAUAGCAGCAUUUGACAAACACCACUAUAGCUCAUUUAAAAGAAGUUUAAAAAGGAGUUAUAGUGGCGUUCAUAAAAUGCUACUAUAGCUCUUAAAAAAAAAAAACACUCAACCAAAAUUUUAAAAUAGUGGCAUAUUCUUAGAAUAUUCUGUUAUAAAAAUAAAAACUAUUAGAAAAAAGAUCUAUAGUGGCAUUUUUUAAACGCUACUAUAGACCCUUUGAAAUGCUACUAUAAGCCCAUUGUUUUAAAACGCCGCUAUAGAGCCCCUAAACGCUGCUAUAGAUAUGUUUACAGCAGCUUUUUUAGAAAAUGCUACUAUAGGGUACCUAUAGUGGCACUUUUUGCAAACGCCACUAAAAACCACACUACGAUAGGCAGCUUUUUUUGUAGAUGCAUCUUGUUAACUUUUUCUUUUUUUCUUCUUCUUUUUCAUUGUUUUUUUGCUUGUUUGGUUUAAUUUUUUUUUUUCCCUUCUUUUUCCCACAUUUGUGUUUGUUUUUAUGUAGAAACGAAGGGGAAGGGUAGCACCAUAAUGAGAAUCUUGUACAAAGAAAAUUACACUGAAACAAAAAACGAAAGAGGUAUAUGUUUUUUUUUUUUGUUGUUGAGUAUAUUUUGUUAAUCAUUUCUUGUGUAGUGUGUUGUUAAUAAAUUCUAAAUGGUUUCUUUAUUGUGUAAUGUGUGUUUAGGAUUUUUGGAUCGUUUUUAUGAUAUGCUCUCCAAAUUUAGUGUUUAUAAAGGAAACUCCUAGCUUCUUUUAAAGUCUAUGGCUAAAGGGUAUAGUGUAAAGGACUUGAAUGCCGCAAAGGCUACUAAAAGCAUGGUGAAAGCAGCUUCUGGUUAUGGCCAGAUAGAACUAUUGUCUAUGGUUAAGCAAGAUGUGCAUCAAUGUGAGGUUAUCAUCAAUAAGCUGGACCAAGUGAUCGCUGGUAUUGAAAGACUAGAAAAAGUUUUGGGAGGCGGCGGAGGAGGAGGCAGUAGAGGCAGCAGUGGAGGAGGUGGUGGUGAAGGUGGUGGAGAAGGUGGUGGCAGAGAUGGCUGAGAUGGUGGCAUCCAAGCAAGAAAGUCACUCCUAGCAUGAUUUUGCAUUUAAUGGAGAUGAGAUAUAGAAGCCACACUUUCUUGACAAUGCAUGCUAAUGCAUUUAACCAAAUUUGGAUCCAAUGAGCCAUGCUACAACUACUUAGUUGUGAGAUGUAAAAGUGAAGAUUGUACAAAUGUAAUCAAGAUAUAAUAUAAUUUUUUUGGAAUGUUAAAUUUUACAUCUCACAAGUGGUAAUUGCCUGGUGCAAUAGCCAGAUCUAUAUCCGCAUUUAACCGUUAGCCCGAAAUUCAAACCACCUUCUGACAGCAACCCCACACUCCACUAUACAUUUUGCAGUCAGGGAAUGGAAGCAACUUGUUAAUUUGUAUUAGUUUUGAAUCAAACCUGUAGUUUGGUCCCAAAUACUCUGGUUGUUGAUAGCCCAAGGCAUUCUCAAAUAUUAUUGUUGGUCCAAUUUUCAAGGCAAAUUCAAAACAAUCUAUGAUUGAGGAUUAAAGUGUUCUUAUAUAAUCUUAGAGUAAUAUGCGUAUUAUUAGAAUUUAGAAAUUAAAUUUAAAUUUACUAAUCAUUCCCCUGCAGUGCUAGUAUGUUACUUGCUUUUCAGUUUUUGUGUUGUUAGGUGUUACUGUGGCAGCAGGCUUGAAUGCUCAUUGCAGUGUUUAUUUAGAGGUGGACAAUUGGAUGAGGUACUUGGUUUGGCCUAUGUACCCCUAAUGCAUGUUGACCACAAGGAUUCUCCAUGAACCCACAAGAAAGAAAAAACUCUCAUGAACACCAUUACACCCCUCUAUCACUCAAGAAUUGACUCACUCUGCACAAAAUUCACAUUCAUGCAAACACCAAACCCUUGCUGAUCCACCUUUUUACCAAGACCAACACUCUCUCUUGAUGAAGGAAAAACUAAACGCUUUGUUUCUUCUUCUGCAUACACCAUAGCCACACCUUGUUUAGGUGACCCCCAAAAUAGAGCCACCACAAUUAAUGGAAGGAUCUGCUAUAUCAGGAUUUGAUUUCUCACAAUCACCCAUCAUCUCCACUUCUACUUGCCCUUGAUUGCCACCAGCCAAAUCACCAUGAACAACAAUAGAAGAAUCAUCAGGAUCGCACAAGCUGAGGACUUCCUCUCCUCUUGGAUUUUUCCAUAUAUGUGCCCAAAGCUACAAAGAAAUCAAAAUCCAAAAGAACAAACAGUGGUAUCCUACAAAAAUCUAUGCUAAGAUCUUGAAUUAGCUAGAAGAAAACCAGAGAAACGCUAGCUAUGCUCUCGUCAUAAUCGCCCAGAGAGAAAGAGAGAGAGCCUUUAUAUAUAUAUAUAUAUAUAUUAUAUAUCUGAUACUAGCAUAUGUUACUUGCUUUCUAAUUUUUGUAUUAUUAGUAGUUGUUACUGUGGCAACAGGCUUGAAUUUUCACUAGCAGUCUUUAUUUGUUAUAUGAACAAGUUCAGCUGUUGCAAAUGAUCUAGAGCUCAUUCAACAACUGACUCUUGACUUAAUUAAUGGCUUCUCUACAGAAUUGGUAGAGAUGGUGAAGAACAGUGACCUAGAAUCACUCUCUAUUGCACGGUUGAGAUAUCUUGCACCAUGGGACGUGCUAAGAGGAAGCUUUAGAAAAGGAAUAGUGGCAGUAGUUGGAGAUGCCAUGCAUGUCUUAGGUCCUUUCUUGGGACAGGGUGGCUCAGCAUCUAUAGAAGAUGCAAUAGUCUUGGCUAGAUGCUUUGCACGAAAUAUGCAUGGAGGUCAGGUCAUUGAGCACAAAGUUGGAGAAGCCAUGGAUGAAUACGUGAAAGAACGGAGGAUGAGAUUGGUUUGGUUGUCAACACAAACUUAUCUUGUUGGUUUACUAGUAAAAAAAUCACCAUGGCUAGUGAGAUUUGUAUGUAACAUUCUCAUGAUGGUUUUCUUCUCCGACUCAUCUGCUCAUACUAGGUAUGACUGUGGCUGCCUAUAA
rnacentral:sRNA from 1 species